rnacentral:lncRNA from 10 species
GCAGUCCCGGUUUUCGCGGCGGCAGGCUGGAGCAGGAGGCAGGCUGGGAUGGGGUUGGAGGGGCCAAGAUAGGCCCAAAAGAAGGGGGCACUGGGCGUUAGGGGCGCAGGUCCAGCCAGUUAGCAAGGGCGGCGCGCUGGGAAGAGUGGUGUAUUUUCACGCCGACACCCGUAUUUUCUUGGCUUGCCUCAAGCCGUCUCUGCGUGACUCGUUACCCCGCCGAAGCCACCCGGCAUCCCAAAGCACGAGCCUGGCGCCUCCUAUUCCACGCGGAAGUGCCCGAGUGACCCUGUGAAGGACCUCCCUCCCCUCACACACGCACAUACACAAGCCCAUGUGGGAGCCCGAGUGACGUGUGCUCGGUGGUCAUGCACCAUCAUUUCCCUUCCACCUUCCUCCUCGCCGCUUCCUCUCCCUCCACCGCGCAGCUCCAGCCGCCUUGCCGCCGCCGCAUCCCCUUCCAAGUUCAGGCUGUGGGUGGAACCUGUUGCUUUAGCUCACGUUUCCCUUCCCCUCCGGGCUGCACGCUGAGGAUGACCUCAGCGAGGUGUGUGUAAGGGGAAUGGAGGGUUUGGCUUCCUUGAGACAGAGGAUCUUGCUCGCCUCAAAGAGGAGGGCAGUUUGCCCCCUUCCUCCUGACUCCAAGACAAAAGAGAGAAGACUGAAGAGUGGUAAAGCUUGUGGUGUGAGAUUUGGAUUGUUGGAUCCAGGGCCUCUCAGAGUUCACCUGAGCUUUCCCAAGUCUGGUUUGUUCUCUCUACCCUGCUGCUACUACUGCAAGUGACUUUCACAAGAUGCUUCUGAGCAUAGCAUUGCUCUGCUGUGACCACUGCAGAUGUCAAGAGAAUUUCUGCCUUUUGGAACUUGGACAAUAUUGGCCACCUACCCAGAGAGAGGAGAAGGAUAAUCCAGACAUAAAGGUAGCUCCCACACAUCCUUUGGAUCUCUGAUAAAGAGUCAUAUACUUAAAGAGCCAUCCUCACAUUCCUGCCCAGACUGUGAGCUGCAUGAGAGAGGCCAUGUCUCAUUUUGUUCCAUUACAUCUCCAGCACUUAAGAGUGCUGGACACAUAACGAGUGUCUGACACAUAACGAGUGCUGAAUAAAUGUUUGUUAACUGAUAAAAUG